GUGGUGGCAGGGCUGGGCUGCUUCCUUCCUCGGAGGCCGCGGCCAAGAGCUUAUUUUGCAGCCUGGGCUUCCUGGUUCUCAUCAUGCCGCAGUAAACACAGGGAGGACCCAGACGCAUCCAAAGCCUCGGUGGUGACAGACGGCAACCAGGUGACGCCAGCUCCCCUAGCCAGGACCCAGGGAAGGAAGGUGUGGGGACAGGUGGCUCCUGUGUGGAACAGGAGGCUCAGGCUCCCAGAACCCGGGUCUGGAACUGGGCUGCUGUGGGGAGGGAGGCCGGAGAGGCGCCUGUCAGGGCACAGACCAGCGCACCGCGAAGAAGAGACAGGCCUCGCAGGUGGCACUGGGAUCCGGGUUAGGGUGACCACAGGCUCCACCUCAGGCCAGGAGCUGCUCCUGGACUGGACCUCCCAAGAUCGGCUUCCCAGAUGUCACGAAUACAGACAAACAGCUCUACGUCCAUGCCCACGCCUCGUCCCUCUCACCAUCCAGGGGCAUGCAGUGGAGGAGAGGUGGCCCAAGAGCUCCCCUUCAGAGAGGGCGGGAGGAGGAGAGGGAACGGCUGCUGGGCUCAGCCUGCUCCAGGGCCCGCGCCCCUCAGCUCCAGGCUUCGCAAGGUCCAGCUGUCCCUCCACACCCUGCAGGAGCGCAGGAUGGGGAACACUGGUCUCUACUAAGCAGAGAAGAAGAAACAGCCAUCUUCCCUUAUGGGAGUAAAAUACUGAUGCUUCAAUUAAAGACAAAGCAAUUCUGCAAAGGAUCAAAACAGCAGAAACCCAGAUCAGUGUGGCAGAAAGUCGAGCAGAUGGGCCUUGGAAGGCCACUGGCCUGCAUCCAAACUCCAGCCCAGCAUGCUGCGAUCUGCACACGUCCACUCCUGCAGCCACCAGGACCACCAUACCAGAGACACUGACCAUGCUGCAGGCAGGCUGGUGACCAGGCUCUGGCCCUUUGGAGCCACCAGGUGCCAAAAUGCACAGUCCCAAGAGGAAGCUGGGAAAGUGCCACCAGUACACCCACUGCCCCUCUAGGCAGCAACAGACCAGGCCACUCUGCCCACUUGGCACGACAGUUCACACCCCUAAGAAGGGCCAUUUCACCAACCUUUUCUAGUUACCAUGCCCUCACCACCCUGUAAGCACUAACCUGUCCUGAAGUAAAAACCAUCAGGGUCAAGGGCGUGGCCUGCUCCUCUAAGGGCCCAGCGAGGGCAGACACAUCACAGAGGAGCUGGCCUACACAGCAACACGCACCAACCCUGAGCUGUGAACCUGGACAGCUGGGGCACCUGGCUGGUGGGUGGUAUAGGAGGCUACCUGGGGCAAAGACAGCGGAUGUCGGAGUGGGCAGAAGACUGGGAAGGAUGGUCCAGUGGGCCCCAGCCAAAGUCCACGCACUUCAGGAUGGCACUCCCCCAGGGAGCCAGUGCUACCGACACCACUCCUGGCACCCAGAGGGCCUGAUACACAGCAGGCGCUCAGAAGACUGCUCACCCACUGCAGGAGCAGCCGGGACAGGACCACGCACCUCAGGCUGGGCCAGCAGCACACACAGCACACCCGGGUGCCUGCUCGGCCCUCAGGAGGCACAACACAGACGCUCUUCCGCCCCCAGGGAGGAGGCACCACGGCAGUUCAGGGGAACUGUGAGGCUCUAACGGCACAACCUGGGACAGGCCAGCACCAGGGCUGGUGCCCACCGACGCAUGGACAACGAGGGUCCCAGUGGCCACCAGAAAUGCAGGAGCAGAAGAGCCAUCAGAUGCAUGCUCGGGGCGGCAGUGCCCAGGUACCAGCUCCAACCUCUCACCUAAGGAGAGGCUGCACCUUCAGGAACCUCGUCAACCAGCCAACGGAAACAGAACACAGGACCAUGACACCCCGGGAACUAGCAAACGCUGCAAUUCAGGGCUCCCCACCUCCCCAGGGGCCGGGUGUGGGGCAUUUACACCACAUCUCACAGCCUGCCAACGCACCUCAAGGGACGAGAGGCUGCGGAGUGGGAGACUCGUUUUGAAGGAGAAGGUAUCACGGGGAGAAUGCCAUUUUGCAGUGUUAAUGUUCAACAUGGGGAAUCUACUAGGAAAGGCGCUGCACUCGCAGAGUGAAGGUGGGCCCACGGCCAUCUCGCGGAGGCAGAGAGCGCCACGCAGUCAGUGCUCCUACUGUCCAUGGCCAGCCAGGGAGAGAAGGGAGCAGGGAGCUGCUCCAGAUGAAGACUGGGGUGAGGGCCACGUCAGCCUGAGGCGCCCAAGGUCAAGGACAGACGAAGCUGCUGCCAUGCCACUGUCCAGACCUCACAGCCCACCGGACACCAGAGACGCUGGGCACCGAUGGGGAGGAAAAGCACCAAGGUCGGGGAGGAAGAGGCCACCACAGGGUCCUCUCUCCAGCAGCCACGGGACCGAGCAACAGCUCCGAUGGCCACAGCAAGCUCCUCGGAGGGACCCUGGAGUGGGACAAAGCAGGCUGUCCCACGACAAGGCCGCUCCAGCCGACCUCAAGCCACACAAGGUCAACUCCACACAGGUCAGUCGGCUAACUGGAGAGCAAACGCGGACCGUGUAGGAGAAAGGAGAGCAGGACCGCGAGGUGGAGAGCUCCUCUGGAACACAGGACGGAACAGAAGAGACACCGCCCACGUGGAGGUCCAGAGCCUCUCCUGGGAAGACUGAAAACAAAUCCCAAGGCCAAAGAGCUAAGCCAGAAAACUGAAGGAGCAGAACCUGCAGGGCCCCUCUGGUGUCCUGGGCAGGGCCGGCACCUGCCCCGGGGCCUUCUCCAGACGGCACUGCCUCAGGUGUGCAGGGACCUCCAGGUGCUACGCCCUGGAGCCUGGAGCUGGAGAGGCAGGGCAUUGCCAGGAAGAGCCGUCCUCCCUGGGUGGGCAGAGGGAGGCGGGCCCUGCCUGCCCCUGGCCCGAGGCUGUGCUCCCGGGGGUCCCACUGUGGGCUUGUUUCUUUAUUUUGGAAUUUCAGGCUCGCGGGAGCUGACAGCACCCUUGUUUUCCUGCUGCUGGGCUCUCUGCUCCCAGGCCUCCCAGAUGGACACGAGGAGACACGCAUAGGGACAUGGACGCCUGCGGAAGACCCUGGGGUCACAAAGCACCCGACCACUCACCCCCUCCAGCCCUCCAUCCUGGGGCAGGGAGACCUCCAAUGCGCAAGCAGCUUCCCACAGGGACCUGAGCCCUGGGAGCAGAAUCCCACAGGAGCACUUCCCUCCUGCCUUAGCCUUGGCCCUGAGAAGCCGGUCAGGAGGGCGAGGGCUCCUCCCCCACCCUGCCGAGGGUGCUGGCCAUUUCUUUCCCACCUGGGGCUGCGUAUCGACCAAUGGUCACCCUCUACUCCCUGGGAUAUGUGAAGGGCCCAUGGUUGUAAGCCUGGGGCUAGACAGGAGAACUCAGGAGUAUGAUGCCACCCCCUGAGCUGGGCCUUCCCUGGCCGGGCCUCCCCACACCCAUCUGGCCAUGCCCGGGCUCUGUGUGCCAGUCUGUCCUCACUCGCAUCCCACCUCCUCCCACACGAAGGCAGUACUCCAGAUGCUCUCCGUCUCUUGCCCUGUUCUAGCCCAGAGCCGGUCCCGAGUGGUCCUCAUUCUGGAGCUGCAACCCUGUCCUGCAGGAUCCGAUCUGGCCAGGAUCAAGACAGGAAGGCCCAGAGCAGAAGAAAGGAGACCGGCAGGCGCUGCCCAGGGGAGGCCCAGAGCUGCUCACAGGGAAAGGGAGGGUGGCGGUUCCCAGAAUGGCGGCCUCCAGAGAGCCCCUCGAGACUCCAAGGAGAUUAAACUCACUUAACUGGCUGACCACCAUCCGGCUUCCCAGAUCCUGAGCCUGUGGGCUCCCAAUUCCUCACCCGAAAACCAUGCCAAUGAGACCUUCACCGGGGACCGUGAGGAGUGACCGACCCCAGGAGGAGCCAGUGCUGCUGAACCAGAGCCGGACGCUGGCCUACGGCGCACAGACCACCAGCAGGCAGCACGCUCCUCAGGCGCUAGAGGGCAACCCACCCUGGACACGGGAGGGCUCUUCGCCCACACCCUGGGCCUGAGCCACCUCGCACCCACCAGAGCUCUGAGAGCCUUCGUGAUCCUGCAAAAUUAUGACCCACGUGUCAACAACGUGGACUGGCUUUCUCCCACAGCUCCUGCGUCAUCACUCCCUGCCCAAGAAGCCCAAGGCGGGUCACACGUCCCCCGGCUCCCCACCCUUCGCUCACCCUGCAAGACCCCACUUCAGAGGGAAGCACACAACACAGAGGCCAAGCAGACUGCCCGGCAGCCCUGGCCAGUUCUCCACCACGUCCACCAGCAGCUGUGCCCACACAGCAAAGGCCCCACAAAACCCCACAGGACAUGGCUCCAGACCGCUGUACAGCUGAGUGUGGAAGCCACCCACACGCCAGGAGGGGCGCACCCAGCUCUUCGGGGAUGCAAGCUCCUGACUCGCGACCCUGCCAGACCCUGCCAGACCCGACCCUGUUAGGAUCUCUGUGCAGCUGCUUAUCUGUAUCCCUUAGAACAACCGGUAAAUACAAUGUUUCCCUGAGCCUUA